rnacentral:rRNA from 1 species
CGGCAGACGGUGAGUAACGCGUGGGAACAUACCUUUUGGUUCGGAACAACACAGGGAAACUUGUGCUAAUACCGGAUAAGCCCUUACGGGGAAAGAUUUAUCGCCGAGAGAUUGGCCCGCGUCUGAUUAGCUAGUUGGUGAGGUAAGAGCUCACCAAGGCGACGAUCAGUAGCUGGUCUGAGAGGAUGAUCAGCCACAUUGGGACUGAGACACGGCCCAA